AGGGAGGAGGAGGCGCCGGGAGGAAGGAAGGGGAAAUGCUGCGCUCAUCACUGCCAGUCCGCUCUGCACACAGACUCCGGGGCUGACAAUAGCGAGGAGCCCGCUGGACCACACUGACGUCUCCUCCGCUCUAUGAGGCUCCUCACCCAGGGCACCCCUAUCCUUCUCACUGGUGGACGCACAGCACACCUCCGGCAGGAAACUUUAAAGGAGGACCCUGAUUCCACAUAAAUGGUGGAUGCGAUUGUGGAGUUUGACUACAAGGCUCAGCAUGAGGAUGAGCUGACCAUAGUGGCGGGUGAGAUCAUCACCAAAAUCAAAAAAGAAGAUGGCGGAUGGUGGGAAGGAGAGUUGAAAGGAAGGAGAGGACUUUUCCCAGACAACUUUGUACGAGAACUAAAGAAAGACAUUAAGAAAGACGUGAGCAGUAAACCACCAGACAGACCAAACCAGACCAUAUCUAAUGGCAGUGCCAUGCCCUCAAGUGAAGCGGUGGUCCGUGGUUCCGGAAGAGGUGAGCGAACAAGGCGGAGGAGAUGUCAAGUGGCCUUCAGUUAUAUGCCACAGAAUGAAGAUGAACUUGAACUCAAAGUUGGUGAGAUCAUUGAAGUACUUGGAGAAGUGGAGGAAGGCUGGUGGGAAGGAGUACUCAAUGGAAAGACCGGCAUGUUCCCUUCCAAUUUUAUUAAAGAGCUUGUAACUGAAACUGAAAUUGGUGGAAACUUUGAGGAACACCAGAUAAAACAAGGAUUUAUGGAUACUGCCGGCUCUGAAAGUGAUGGGGGCGACUCCAAGUCAGAAGGGACUAAUGGAACAAGCGGAGCAGAAAACCAGGCGAAAAAGAUCAGGGGAUUUGGCUUUGGGGAUAUUUUCAAAGACAAACCAAUUAAACUGCGACCAAGGUCAAUCGAAAUAGAAAAUGACAUUGCUGCUGUAGAAAAGACCAUGGUGAAAAAACUUCCACCAACUAUGACAUCCCAAGAAUCUCUGAAGAUGGAAUCAGAAAAUAAAUCAAAAACCAAGGAAUAUUGUAAAGUUCUCUUCCCAUAUGAAGCCCUCAAUGAAGACGAAUUAACAAUCAGAGAAGGUGAUAUUGUGAUUGUCAUAAACAAGGACUGUGUGGACAUGGGAUGGUGGGAAGGAGAGCUGAACGGCAGAAGAGGAGUGUUUCCAGAUAACUUUGUCAAGCUACUUCCUCCUGAUUACGAGAAGGAAAUCCAUAGACCUAAGAAACCACCUCCUCCAUUGGCUCCAGUUACCAAGUCAGGAACAGUAGGCACAUCAGACAGGAAGCAGGAGAUCAGGAAGAUUCCUCCAGAAAGGCCCGAAACCCUCCCGCACAGGCCAGAUGAGAAGGAGAGGUCCGACAGAGAUCACAAAGUGGAUAGUUCACUGAAACACUCAGUUCCCGCUAUACCUCCAAAGAAGCCCCGCCCACCCAAGACUAGCACAUCCAAUAAAUCUGGCACCCUUCCUCCUCGGAGGCCAGAGAGACCAGCAGGACCUGUAACGCAUGCACGGAGCGACAGUCCGAAGGCAGAGGUGGGGAUCAGUACCGUGUCCAGCACUCCUGACAGAGACUCGUCAGAUAAGAGCAAUGACAUUGAUGUUGAAGGCUUCGAUUCCCUUGUGUCAACUGGAGAGAAACUUAGUCACCCUACCGCUUCAAGACCUAAAUCCAGCGGGAGACGUCCGCCUUCCCAGUCCCUGACAUCGUCCUCCCUUUCCAGUCCUGAUUUCUUUGACUCCCCAAGCCCAGAGGAUGACAAGGAUGAUCUCAAUCACCUGUCACAGAGAACAAUAGACCCCUCCAAGAAAAGCCCACGUAGUGUGACGUCACAGAUGCCAGAUAACAGAGCUGCAUUGCCCCCAAAACCAGGAGGCUUGAUUGCAAGUGUUAGUUUCUCACAUGGAGCACCUGGAGCCCCAUCAGCAUUCCAUUCUGUCACCUCAAGUAGUCACCGGUCAAACUCUCCGUCCUUUGUAAACUCUGAUACAAGACACAAAGCUGAACAUGGCCAGUUAUCACUAGAAGAGCUACAGACACAAGUCAAGGAUCUUAGAAGCAUCAUUGAGACAAUGAAGGACCAGCAAAAAAAAAAGAAAUAAAACAAUUACUCUCCGAGCUAGAUGAAGAAAAGAAGAUUCGCCUACGAUUACAGAUGGAUGUCAAUGAAAUUAAGAAAUCUCUACAAUCCAAAUGAAAAGAGAAAACUUGCGUCACAACCCAUAUCAAAGUCCUAGAAUCAUGAACUGUUCUUCCCUCCCAGGCCAAAAUAUUUUUGGUGCCAAAUGAUCUAAAAUUUGCCUCAAACGCGACAAGCACAACGGCAGUCCAACCUACCACGGACACCCUGGUGACUUCGUGUGCUCUCGCACAUGUAUAUCAGUGGACUCAACGUUGUGCUCAAGUGUUCCUCCUUAAAACUGCGCAUGAAGGAAACUCAGGCAGUUUUACUUCAGAGUGGUACUUUUUUAUGAUAUUUUUCCAUGAAUAAAGUGGAUUUCCAAUUGUCUGUUUACAAGCUUUAUAAUUUUAUGGGUUUUAUUUUUAUUUUAUUUUAUUUUUUGUAUGAAUUUUAUCUCAGAAUUUUGAAAUGUUUGUGCAGCUGUGUAACCUUUCUUGUCCUUUCUGUUACCUCCUGAGACAUACUGUAUGAGCUUGACAUCUCUGACUAUGACUCAAAACGUACAUAUGCAAAGUUCAUACAAUGUGAUUAAAAUGCUUCGCUUUUCAUUGUACUUUACGAAUGUGUACCUUAAGACAGGAAAGCAUGGUAUUUAAAGACGAUUUGUGCCUUUUUUUUGUUUAAAGAAAAAAACACAUUUAGUUAUACUGUAGACCUAUGUCCUAUAGUAAUAAAACCGGGCAGAGGAAGCAUGAUCUUCCUACUUGUAGGGCCAGGACGCCCUUCUCUUGAUGUCACCUGAAAUAAGAAGUUAAUAUUAGUUUUCAAAUAAUGUAAACUGCAAUAAAAGAACCUAUUUUCUUCA